UACACUCCUGCGGGAGGCAGCAGUGGGGAAUAUUGGACAAUGGGCGCAAGCCUGAUCCAGCCAUGCCGCGUGAGUGAUGAAGGCCCUAGGGUUGUAAAGCUCUUUCACCGGAGAAGAUAAUGACGGUAUCCGGAGAAGAAGCCCCGGCUAACUUCGUGCCAGCAGCCGCGGUAAUACGAAGGGGGCUAGCGUUGUUCGGAAUUACUGGGCGUAAAGCGCACGUAGGCGGAUCGAUCAGUCAGGGGUGAAAUCCCAGGGCUCAACCCUGGAACUGCCUUUGAUACUGUCGAUCUGGAGUGUGGAAGGGGUGAGUGGGAUUCCGGGUGUAGAGGUGAAAUUCGUAGAUAUUCGGAGGAACACCAGUGGCGAAGGCGGCUCACUGGUCCAUUACUGACGCUGAGGUGCGAAAGCGUGGGGAGCAAACAGGAUUAGAAACCCUAGUAGUCC
rnacentral:rRNA from 1 species